CCUACGGGUGGCAGCAGUGGGGAAUAUUGGACAAUGGGGGGAACCCUGAUCCAGCCAUGCCGCGUGUGUGAAGAAGGCCCUCGGGUUGUAAAGCACUUUCAGUGAGGAAGAACGCCUGGUGGUUAAUACCCAUCAGGAAAGACAUCACUCACAGAAGAAGCACCGGCUAACUCCGUGCCAGCAGCCGCGGUAAUACGGAGGGUGCGAGCGUUAAUCGGAAUUACUGGGCGUAAAGCGCGCGUAGGUGGCUUGAUAAGCCGGUUGUGAAAGCCCCGGGCUCAACCUGGGAACGGCAUCCGGAACUGUCAAGCUAGAGUGCAGGAGAGGUAGGUAGAAUUCCCGGUGUAGCGGUGAAAUGCGUAGAGAUCGGGAGGAAUACCAGUGGCGAAGGCGGCCUUCUGGACUGACACUGACACUGAGGUGCGAAAGCGUGGGUAGCAAACAGGAUUAGAUACCCUGGUAGUC
rnacentral:rRNA from 1 species